rnacentral:snoRNA from 1 species
AUGGAGGUUAAGAAAGUGAAGCAAAAUAAGACCACGUUGCUUCACUGAUACCCACCUCCUACAUUAAAGAGCGGACAGAACACCUUUGGUUAAUAAGAAUGAGCCUUGGGUUACUUUCUCUGCUUACAAAU